GGUUAAGUGAAUAAGGGCGCACGGUGGAUGCCUUGGCACUAGGAGCCGAUGAAGGACGGGACUAACACCGAUAUGCUUUGGGGAGCUGUACGUAAGCUAUGAUCCAGAGAUUUCCGAAUGGGGAAACCCAACAUCUUUUAUAGGAUGUUACGUUUGCGUGAAUACAUAGCGCAUUCGAGGUAGACGCAGAGAACUGAAACAUCUAAGUACCUGCAGGAAGAGAAAGAAAAUUCGAUUCCCUGAGUAGCGGCGAGCGAAACGGGAAAAGCCCAAACCAAUGAGCUUGCUCAUUGGGGUUGUAGGACUCCAAUAUGGUAGUUCUUUCAGAUAAUCGAAUGACUUGGAAAAGUCAGUCAAAGAGGGUAAAAACCCCGUAGAUGAAAUUUGGAAGGCACCUAGGAGGAUCCUGAGUACGGCGGAACACGAGGAAUUCCGUCGGAAUCCGGGAGGACCAUCUCCCAAGGCUAAAUACUCCCUAGUGACCGAUAGUGAACCAGUACCGUGAGGGAAAGGUGAAAAGCACCCCGGAAGGGGAGUGAAAUAGAAUCUGAAACCGUGUGCCUACAACAAGUCAAAGCCCGUUAAUGGGUGAUGGCGUGCCUUUUGUAGAAUGAACCGGCGAGUUACGAUUGCAUGCGAGGUUAAGUCGAAGAGACGGAGCCGUAGCGAAAGCGAGUCUGAAUAGGGCGUUUGAGUAUGUAGUCGUAGACCCGAAACCAUGUGAUCUACCCAUGUCCAGGUUGAAGGUGCGGUAAAACGCACUGGAGGACCGAACCCACGUACGUUGAAAAGUGCGGGGAUGAGGUGUGGGUAGCGGAGAAAUUCCAAACGAACUUGGAGAUAGCUGGUUCUCUCCGAAAUAGCUUUAGGGCUAGCCUCGGAUUUGAGAAUGAUGGAGGUAGAGCACUGUUUGGACUAGGGGCCCAUCUCGGGUUACCGAAUUCAGAUAAACUCCGAAUGCCAUUCAUUCAUAUCCGGGAGUCAGACUGUGAGUGAUAAGAUCCAUAGUCGAAAGGGAAACAGCCCAGACCACCAGCUAAGGUCCCAAAAUAUAUGUUAAGUGGAAAAGGAUGUGGGGUUGCACAGACAACUAGGAUGUUGGCUCAGAAGCAGCCACCAUUUAAAGAGUGCGUAAUAGCUCACUAGUCGAGUGACCCUGCGCCGAAAAUGUACCGGGGCUAAACAUAUUACCGAAGCUGUGGAGUACACCAUUAGGUGUAUUGGUAGGAGAGCGUUCUAAGGGCGUUGAAGGCAGAUCGUGAGGACUGCUGGAGCGCUUAGAAGUGAGAAUGCCGGUAUGAGUAGCGAAAGACAGGUGAGAAUCCUGUCCACCGAAUGACUAAGGUUUCCUGGGGAAGGCUCGUCCGCCCAGGGUUAGUCGGGACCUAAGCCGAGGCCGACAGGCGUAGGCGAUGGACAACAGGUUGAUAUUCCUGUACUCGUUGUUUUUGUUUGAGCAAUGGAGGGACGCAGGAGGCUAAGGAAUGCAGACGAUUGGAAAUGUCUGUCCAAGCAGUAAGUCUUGAUAGGAGUCAAAUGCUUCUGUCUACACGGAUAAGCUGUGAUGGGGAGGGAAAUAAUAGUACCGAAGUUCCUGAUGUCACACUGCCAAGAAAAGCUUCUAGUGAGAAAACAAUGACCCGUACCGCAAACCGACACAGGUAGUCGAGGAGAGAAUCCUAAGGUGAGCGAGAGAACUCUCGUUAAGGAACUCGGCAAAAUGACCCCGUAACUUCGGGAGAAGGGGUGCUGAUCUUU
rnacentral:ncRNA from 1 species